UAGUUCAUGAAAAAUCGCAAUUUUGGUCUAAGCCGACUUUUGGCUAAAUACAAGUUAUUCCCAACCCAAAUUUAAUAAGGAUCACGAAAAUCCUAUUCGUUUUGUUAUAGGAUCACUAUUUCUGGAGAUAUUGACUACUUCCGGUUACUUCCGGCAAAUUUCCGUGACAAUCUGCAAAAAGUAAAAAAUUAGCUGUAUUGUUCUAACAAUUUAAAAUAUUUUUCUCGCAUGCGUUAGGGUGUUGGUAGGUAUUAUUCCGUGUUUUUCUUGCUUUCAACACUACAGGCUGAUCCUACGAGCUACGCAGCUACGACAGUUUUACCUACAAAUGUUUAGCGUUUCGUGCUGUAACUAGUAGUUGAUAUUCUAGGAUGUUAUGCCUAAAAUUGGAAUUCAGCUAUCAGAGAUUACCAAAUUUCAAGCGGAAACUCUAGAUGGCGCUGAUGUACGUCUAUGAUGAAGAUUAUGAGUGACAAGUUAAAUGGGUGUUUUUUACGUUACCCUGUUAUGUGUUUUUUAAAGGAUUUUUCGUCAAAAAAUUUACGGAUUGUUAUCGUCUAUUCAGUAUUGCUAUCGUUGGGUAUGUAUUGAAAAGGAAACCCUUGAAAUAGAUUGCUUUUUGUAUAUGGGGGUGUUUUGCCUGCUGCUUCAGCUGCUGAACCAGCAGUCUGCAUUCCUGCUAUCACUGUACCACAAGAGAUCCUGACACUUUAAGAAGGCCACUAAUGCUUACAUGAAGAUCACACUCCAGUUCAAAGUUUUCAUCUACUUUGUGUUACUAAUCAUCAGCCCUCAGCAUCGCAGGUAUCCAGAUUUCCAAGUUUCUCUGAUUAGCCAACCAUCAUCCAUACCCUUCAGCUCUUCAUUGUGGCUUCUCUUCAUCUCUUCUUAGUCUGCUGAAUGCCAACAUCGAAUAAGGUUCAUCAUCAUUGCCUUUCCAUGGUACAUCAGCUGUCCCGUCAGCUGUUCUAUUUCGCGUGGAUUCGGGUUGUGGAUGGCCGCUGAAACGAAUGUCCCUCUUAUUGAAAUUUCACCACCGAUUCCGUGUGUUUUGAGCUGUAUCUUUUGAAUUCAAUCCAGUGUUGUUCAAGGAGGAACAGGGAUUGGCUUUCAUCUCCGUUAGUCUAAUAUACCCAUUUUGCACCAAAGGUGAUACGUAAAAAAGUAGUGCUUUAAAAUCUUUUUCUCUAUCUAAAUCUCAUAGAUUCUUGGAGGUGUCAUCAGGUGAUGUUAGAACUUAUUGUUAAUAGUUUAAGUUUUUUAAAUCAUGCCUUCAGGUCUUUGCAGUGUCCCUGAUGUACUAUGAUGGCCGCAAAAUCAUUCAAUGACUUGGUUUUUUAAAAUAGUGGUUUACAGUUUUAAUUUGCAGAGAUCCUGGAGGCACCUGAUCUGUUUCACUGGUGUUGGAGUCACUUGGUGACAGAAGAGAAUACCACUAAUGUUAUGUUGUCAGUGUAAAUAAAACAUAUCCAGUAUCAUUCUUGUGUUUGUUGAAUCAUUACCUCAUUCAACGGAAACAAAGGAGUUAAAGAAGUGAUUGCACUUGACAGUCAAAUGGAACAAAGAAAACAAUUUAUUCACUGAUGUUUCACCGACUGUGAAAUCUAUUGAAAUAAGUACUAUUGAGAUUGCUGGACUUAAGAGUAAAAUAGUUUGGGAAAACAUAAUAUAAUUUUAUCUUUGAUAUGCAUAAAUUUGAAUAAGGUGAAAUGAAAUAAACACGAAGAAUAAAUUAAAAU